AUUCAUUCUGGAUGGCGCAUAUA
rnacentral:siRNA from 1 species